rnacentral:rRNA from 1 species
UCGCCUGUUUAUCAAAAACAUGGUUUCUUGAGUUAUAUUUAAGAAAUUUAACCUGCCCACUGAAAAAUUUUGAAGGGCCGCAGUAUUUUGACUGUGCAAAGGUAGCAUAAUCAUUAGUCUUUUAAUUGAAGGCUGGUAUGAAUGGUUGGAUGAGGUAAGUUCUGUUUUAUAACAAUUGAAAUUGAAUUUAGAUUUUAAGUAAAAAUACUUAAAUGUUAUUAAGGGACGAGAAGACCCUAUAGAGUUUAAUAAAUGUAGUAAAUAAUUGAGUUAUAAAAUAAUUUUUAAUUUUUGUAAAGUUUAUUUAAUUGGGGUGAUUAAAAAAUAUAAGAAACUUUUUUUUGAUUUUAAUAUUAUAUUUAGUUAUUUGAUCCAUAUGUAAUGAUUAUAAGAUUAAAUUACCUUAGGGAUAACAGCAUAAUUUUUUUUGAAAGUUCAUAUUGAAAAAAAAGAUUGUGACCUCGAUGUUGGAUUAAGAUAAGUUUUGGGUGUAGAUGUUCAUAAACUAGGUCUGUUCGACCUUUAAAAUCUUACAUGAUCUGAGUUCAAACCGGAGA